UUUGUUACGACUUAUCUCCUCUUAAGAGGAGAGUGACGGGCGAUAUGUGCACAUUCUAUUGCCUAAUUCAGCUUACUUUUCUUUAGUAAAGCUUACUAACAAAUCCACCUUCAAUCAGAUUUUAAAUUGAAAUCCGUUUUUUUUAAAAAAUUGUAGCUCAUCAUUUCCUUUACAUAAACUGCACCUUGACCUGAAGUAAAAAAAUAAUUUUUCUAGAAAACAUCCUUUUAGAGUAAUCUGUCAACGGAGGUAUACAAGCUAUACAAAUAAAGGUAAGAUAAAACGGGGAUUAUCGAUUAUAAGACAAGCUCCUCUGUUUGGAUAAAAUGCCGCCAAAAUCUUUGGGUUUGAAGAAUAACUUUUACUACCCUACUAAACAUUAUAAAGAAUAACAGGGUAUCUAAUCCUGGUUUUUUAUCUUCACUUAUUAAUUCCUAUAAAUAAUACAAGAUUAUUUGUUCUUUUAUAUAAAUUUCACCCAAAAAAAAGAAUAAAUUUACUUAAAAUUAUUUACUGUUAAUUAAAAUAAUAAAUUAUUCCAUUCAGAUUCUUCGUCUAACC
rnacentral:rRNA from 1 species